AUUGAACGCUGGCGGCAGGCUUAACACAUGCAAGUCGAGCGAGCGGCGGACGGGUGAGUAAUGUCUGGGAAACUGCCUGAUGGAGGGGGAUCACUACUGGAAACGGUAGCUAAUACCGCAUACCAUCAGAUGUGCCCAGAUGGGAUUAGCUAGUCGGUGUGGUAUUGGCUCACCUAGGCGAAGAUCCCUAGCUGGUCUGAGAGGAUGACCAGCAACACUGGAACGUAGACACGGUCCCGACUACGACGGGAGGCAGCAGUGGGGAAUAUGGGACAAUGGGCGAAAGCCUGAGGCAGCCAUGCCGCGUGUGUGAAGAAGGCCUUCGGGUUGUAAAGCACUUUCAGCGAGGAGGCGUUACUCGCAGAAGAAGCACCGGCUAACUCCGUGCCAGCAGCCGCGGUAAUUC
rnacentral:rRNA from 1 species